rnacentral:rRNA from 1 species
UACGUAGGGUGCGAGCGUUAAUCGGAAUUACUGGGCGUAAAGCGUGCGCAGGCGGUUAUUUAAGUCAGGUGUGAAAGCCCUGGGCUUAACCUAGGAAUUGCGCUUGAGACUGGAUAGCUUGGAGUGCGGCAGAGGGAGGUGGAAUUCCACGUGUAGCAGUGAAAUGCGUAGAUAUAGGAAGGAACACCAGUGGCGAAGGCGACCACCUGGACUGAUACUGACACUGAGGUGCGAAAGCGUGGGGAGCAAACAGG